UGGAGGACAAGAGGGCCUUGGUGAGUAGAAAACACAUUUGGCACUCAAUGUCAUACAGUACCAAAAUAGUUUGUUAGAAUUAUUUUCAAUACAAUGUCGAUUGUUGUUUCAGUGUGAACCACCACCCCUUCCCGCUGAAGGUGUUGUAAGUGUUAUUGUGUCAAUGUGAUCAUCAGAAAGUAACAUAACUUGACAAUGCCUGGUGUAAUACUGCAUGGUCAUUGUUCACUGACUUUCUUGAGUUGUCUUCUAGUAGCAGGAGGUGAAUCUCAGGAGUCUCUCCGAGAUGUGGAAAGAAUUAGGUCAGAGGUUGAAACACAAGCCAAGGUGUCUUUAACUGCUUCCUGUAGAAUGUUGUAUUCUUCCCAUAUUCACGAUUGUCUACUGUUUUAUUUGAUGGCUUAUAUUGGUUACUGUUUUAUUCAGGGGAUAUUGUUUCAAUUAAUAUUUGUUGUUUUGUAGACUAUUGAUUCCCUGUGCAAAACUCUGUCCAUGCACGAGGCAGAGAGAACCCAGAAUCUCAAUACCAUGGCAGUCCUUCAAUCCGAGGUGCACCAUUUGGCUGCACAUGUUGCCGCCCAGCACUUUGAGGAGCGUUUUGAGGGCCUAGGCUGUGAGGUCUCCACUGAGCUCCACUACCUGCGCACUCUCCCUGCUCCUGUCCUACUCUCCAAGCCUCCUGUUCCAGCACUCACCCCUCAGAUAUCCAGAGGCAGGCUGCCAUCAACCACAACUCUCAGGAACUCUACCACAGGUAGAUCUGGAUAAGGCAGUCUGAAGUGUGGUGUGGUGGGGAUACUUUGGUGAACUACACUUGCAUGAUGAUAAAUAGACUUUAGCUCAGUGGGAUAAUGCAGUAAUAACAUGUAAUUCCCUCUCCAUAUUUUUUUGUGUAUGUUGUCUGUUUCUUCAGUCGUGUGGGAGCAGAUUGCUGAGCUAAAGGGAGGAAGUCCACAACUUUCAUGGCCUGCUUAGCAAGUUUGAUUUUAUGUUUUUCAGAACAAGACCCCCUUCCAUGAUGUUGUUCUAAUGGAGGCUUUUUAUAAACCUUACUAAAGUUUUCCUUUCCUUUUUAGAAAAACUAAGAGACGAAACUAUGCGCAGAUUGACAGAGAAAUACUGCAAAUACUAUAAGAGCUCAGAGCUCACAUUUCUCUCCCCCAAAUCACUUUGACCUGAAUGAUUUCACUCAUCAAACAAAUGAUACAAACUUUACACUUGAAACAAUCUUCUGAACUGUACAUGGGUUAUAAUGAUUUGGACUGCUGAAGCUUAUCUCAUGUUAUGUGACAUGUUCUGGAAUAUAUAUCUGGAAUAUGUAUCUAUCUGUCUCAAUUUUCAGUGCUUGGAGAGGAUGAUUGACAGCUAUCAGAUGAAGGACGACUUACUCAAACUGCAGAGGCCUCAGGACAUGCUCAGGUCAAAUUUAAGGUGAAAGUUCUGGGUUGAGGUUAGAGUAGACGAGCAUGGCAAGCAAUCUGACAGACUGCUAUUCCUAAAGGAAUUAUGAUGAUGCAUCCUUAUAACAAGUGUUCUCCCCUAGAUCAGAUGUUUCUGAGUUACAGAAUAAGCUUCAAACUAUAACAAUAUCGAAAGGCAAGGCUCCCAAUAAAACAGGCCGAACUGAACGAAUAGGACAGAGGGUUAUGCCAGCCGAUUCAGAUUCAGGCAAAGCGGAACAUGUGCCAAAGGAAUGACACCAAAGAUCAAAGUGGAAAUCAGUGUGUCUGUCAGACAGAGUUCAGUAUGUCAAAUCGGAGGGCAUGCUGUCCGGUCCUCU